rnacentral:tRNA from 1 species
UAUGGCAGAUUAGUGCAAUGGACUUAAGAACCAUAUAUAAAAUUUAAAUUUUUAUUAAAA